UUUUGAAUUUUUUUUGAAAUCUUUUGUUAUAUCUCGCUUGAUCGCAGUAAAAUCCCGCCCAUGCUUUCGUUUCAGUGUAUACGCAAUACAUCUGUCAAAAUUAUCCCAAAAUGUUGUGAAGUGCAAGAUAACACUGAAUCAACAAUUCGACGCCACAAUACACGGUCCGCGGCCACAUCUCUCCAUUCUCGAUUGCGCCACACGCUCGCUCAUUCUGCACCUGGUCCGCCCACCUCGCUCGCUGCGCUGCGUUCCACGCCUUCGUGUGCCUGCCGGAUCGGAAGCGAACACCAUCUUCGCAGGGUUGCUGUCCGGCAUUCUUGCAACAUGCCCUGUCCAACGUACUUUUCCGGCUUUGGUUACCUUCUGGAUACUGGGUUCGCCGUAGAACUGGACGAGCCGACACACACCGUCCUGUUGCACACCGCCAAAAGUUGUCCUAAGCACUCCGAGUGCCUCUUCGAGGAGCAUGGUCCAAGUUUCGUGCCCGUAGAGGACUACCGGUCUUAUCAGCGUUCGGUACAUGACGCAUGACGCGCGGGAGUGAAUCUUUUUUGACCGUAGUUUCUUUUGAAGCCCGUAGUAGGCAAGAGUGCGCGUGGGGUAGAUCUCAAAUGCGCUAUUAGCUCAGCAACGUCUUCGAUGAGAUACGUUACAAGAGUCCUGUGUCGGUCUAGAUAAUAGGCUCGAGCAUCCAGGAUUAUCCACUACUGAGCACAGCUUUUAGCCAAGUCAGGCGAAUCCAAACAAAAGGAA